AACAGGAAACAGCAAGCCUGAAAAAGGAAAUUGACGAAGAAACAAUUUGGUUAUUCUUGACUCAGUGGCCAAGGAGGGAACACAGGUGCAAGGAAGACUGGGAAAUGCAGUAUACAGCUGGAGACAUCAUUGCCCUAAAUAAAAAUAGGACUCUUACCAAGAAGGGAGAGGAGAAUGGAUAUUGGGUGGCAUCACAGUCUCUCACACCUGAGCAUCUGAUUCUGUCAGAAGUU
rnacentral:lncRNA from 10 species